rnacentral:rRNA from 1 species
GGACGAACGCUGGCGGCGUGCCUAACACAUGCAAGUCGUACGGGACUUGGGGGCAACUCCAAGUUCAGUGGCAGACGGGUGCGUAACACGUGAGGAACUUGUCCGGUGGCGGGGGAUAGCCGGCCCAACGGCCGGGUAAUACCGCAUACGCUCGCUCGGGGGCAUCCCUGGGCGAGGAAAGCAGCCGCAAGGUUGCGCCGACGGAGGGUCUCGCGGCCUAUCAGCUAGUUGGCGGGGUAACGGCCCACCAAGGCGACGACGGGUAGCUGGUCUGAGAGGAUGAUCAGCCACAUUGGGACUGAGACACGGCCCAGACUCCUACGGGAGGCAGCAGUGGGGAAUAUUGCGCAAUGGCCGCAAGGCUGACGCAGCGACGCCGCGUGUGGGAUGACGGUCUUCGGAUUGUAAACCACUGUCAGGGGGAACGAAUGCGGGACGUCGAAUAGGCGAUCUCGAGUGACGGUACCUCCAAAGGAAGCACCGGCUAACUCCGUGCCAGCAGCCGCGGUAAUACGGAGGGUGCGAGCGUUGUCCGGAAUCACUGGGCGUAAAGGGCGCGUAGGCGGUUCGGUAAGUUGCUGGUGAAAUCCCGGGGCUCAACUCCGGGGCUGCCGGCAAGACUGUCGGACUUGAGCACGGUAGAGGCAGAUGGAAUUCCCGGUGUAGCGGUGGAAUGCGUAGAUAUCGGGAAGAAUACCAGUGGCGAAGGCGUUCUGCUGGGCCGUUGCUGACGCUGAGGCGCGACAGCGUGGGGAGCAAACAGGAUUAGAUACCCUGGUAGUCCACGCCGUAAACGAUGGACACUAGGCGUCGGGGGGAGCGACCCUCCCGGUGCCGUCGCUAACGCAGUAAGUGUCCCGCCUGGGGAGUACGGCCCGCAGGCUGAAACUCAAAG